rnacentral:misc_RNA from 1 species
AAAACAAAAUGAAUGACCAAAACGAUAUGAAGUUCAACUUAAACACUCACAAAACUGACCCUCUAUAUUUAACCCGGACAAUCAAAUGAUUAAACGAUAACCGAUUAAGCAUCCAUAUAGAGAAGAAAGUAACCUUUGUAUUCCAAAAUUAACCAGUUCCCAUAUAAAUAUGUUAAAGUCAAAAACAAAGGAGCAAACAAAGAAGGACCAAAAGAAACUCAACAGAAGCAAGUUACCACGUGACGCUUGGAAUCGAAUUAGGGAAAAAAGGAGAAGGAAAUAUUACCUUUUGAAGUGCAACAAACCAGGACAAAAUGAU